rnacentral:miRNA from 2 species
AAUAAGUCUGGCUAAUAUAUAUGAGAAUGGUCCGAAAAAUCUAUCUUCCAUUAUCAUCAUUACUUUUUUCUCGGAAACAUAAUCUGAACAGACCUAUU